ACGGUUGUAAUCAGCAGCCAUAGACUGUGAAGUGGGAGAACCUGAACGUGACGUCAAUGCCUAGUAACUGACGCAGCCCUCAAAAAAGAGAUUUUGCAAGCGUUAAUUGUGAUUGUGUUUUGCUAUAAAGACAACACAUAUUCUGUUCGCAGUACAACAGAUCACGCUUGUCUGUGCGCGCCAGUCCGCGUAAGUUUCUCCCUCUCUCCGUGUGUGUUUUGUUUUUUACGAGCAGCGAAUCCGUCCCGAGUAUCCAAGCGAAAGUUGCAUGGAGACACGCCGCGUAAUAAUAAAGAGGAUGGCGAGCGACAUAAACGAAGAGGGAAAGCGGGAACAACUCGACCCGAGAAAGACCCCGACUGAUGAUUCUUGGCGAACAUUUAGGAAGUGUUUAGCCAUAUGAGAGAGGGGCAUUGAAGCAGUUCGUUUGAAAAAAAAUCACUGCAGCGAUGCAACGGAGGCGAGUCGGAGCCCUUGCAUGGAGUUGGAGAGGCAAAAUUGAUGUACAUUACAUGCACUCCACGUAACGCUCCUGAGCGAUGUCUUUGUGAGUGUUUUUUUCUUACUUGGUGCUAAAAAUAGCAUCAGUGUUUGAUCGUGGUCCAGAAAUAGGCAGAGGGUAUCACUUGUAUAAAAAGGACUGCGAUUCGGAGAAAACUUGGACGUGUUGCUGAGGAGAGAUAUGAAUCAAGGGCAGCAUUUGAUUUUCAUCUUGUUGUUUUUGUGUAACAUGGUCACGUUUGACUGAUUUUAUACUCAUGAAUAUGUUCUUUCCUGCUUUCAGCAAGGGUUUGUUGCACUGGGAAAGGGUCAAUGAACGACUCAAGCUGCCACCCAACUUUCCCCAUCAGUCCGUGCGCGCUGCUGCGAGCUCCGUCCACCUUCUUCAGUGUGACGUCAUUGAAAUCUGCUGAUGACAGAAGGUCCAGAAGAAGACGAAAGGGACGAUGAACUAAGAACAUACGUCAGGGAAGGAAAAAUUGAGCAAUGAGCUUAUAAGAGGGUUCACCUACAGACUGUGUCACGUGUGUGAAAGGCCACAGUUAUGAGAAUACUGACGUGCAUACAGAAAAAAAUGAAAAGGAUGAACAUUCAGGAAGCCUACCUUAGGAAUGUCUUGGGCACAAGAUCAACGUCAAACCAACGUCUGUUUGUGAGCUUUUUACCGGUUAAUGGAAAUCCAGCAAGUUUAUUACUUUAUAGGAGCAAAAUGACACCCUCAGGUAUUUAAAGUCUACAUCUGUAAAGGCUUUUUUUAUAAACUGGAGAGCUACAUUUCAGAUUAUUCAGAUUUCUGUCGUGUACAUUUUGACAUAUAAACUAUGUAAAGAAUUCGUUUUUUAAACAGACAAAGUACAAAAUGUAGUUUAUGAUGUAAAAAAUGUGAAUACAUACACAUUAAGAUUAUAUCCAUAUUAGGUUUUAGCUCAGUAAGGAAAUUGUAAACCAUACGACCAUGAAAACGCAUGUGUUGUUUCGUUCUGUUGUAAUUUGCGAAAACAUUGACAUACACAGUCUAGAUUUCUUUUGAACAUCUUUUGUUUUAUUGCAAGAAAUAGUCUGUGUGUAGAUUAAAUUGCUUUAGUUGUGCGCGUGCUACUAAGAUUCGCUCGCGUAACGUGAGAGAAAUACUCUGCUUGUGUAUAAAUGAACAUGAUGGAAGUAGCCUGGAUACUUUUUCAGCAUGUGAUGAUUUAUAAUUGUGUGGGUGGUAGAUAUUUAAACAACAGAAAUAGUUUUCUUAUAGUUUGCUCGAAGAUGUUUAAAGGAAGUUUGAUGCAGUGUUGGUGCUGUUAGGGGUUCGCUGUCCACUUCGUGUGGUGCUGAAAUGUGCACAACUGCUGACGUGACGACCUUAUCACUCAAAAGCUUUUAACUAAAUAUUAUAUUUUAUCAAGCAGAUAUUUUGAUACAAUUUCCUCUUCAAAUGUAUCUAAUGUGUAUAUUGUGUUGUGUAUGUAUAUAGAAGUUUGAAUAAAAGUUGUAACUUUUUAGCAGUGGUCUAGACUAAAAUACCACGUGGUCCUAAGUGAUUAAACGUUGAGACCCCUUUGUUUAAAAGUCUUAUCUGAGCAGUGCAGGGACAAGGGAUAACAAAAUUGAAUCAAACGAAGACCGAGGAGUCGAGCUCAUUUUAGAAAUUGUCUGUGGUGCGUGUGUCAGUGUGUGUAGAAGACGAACACGGGAAUAUAAAUGAAAACGUGUGUUUGAUAAAAGAGUGACCGAGAGGUUGCGUGUGUAUAUGCGUCAGUGAGGAUGUGUGUUUGAAAAUUGAAAGUAUGCAUUAGUUUACUAGUACACGGACAGUUCAAAUAAAAUCUAAUCGAUAUUUUACGUCAGUCAUCAAAGUGUUACAAAACCUUAAUGUAUACUGUGGUUUAAACAUUGACCUUUUACUGUGUAUGUUCAUUUGUGCUCUGCAUUCGUUUUUAAUGCUGUACUAUUGCUUUACCUUUUUAUGAUUAGCUGUUAUAAAUUGAAAUAAAUGUCGCAAUUUAUACGUCUGUUGUGAACUGUAUAAAAGUAAACGAGGCUGCUGUUUAAAGCAUGCAAUGUGGAAUACGUCGUAGCUGUAACUCUCGGCUGUGCAGCUGUUUAUGUAUUUCUGGGACUUGUGCAAUGCAAGGACACUGAGGAAUAAUAUAGUAAAUUAACUGUUUAAUUCUGACGAAUUGUUCUGUUAUUUCACUACAAAAAAAUGUUUUUGUGAAGCCACUGGCAAGAUGUGGCAACAUACGAAUGCUGAUGCAUACUUGACAAACGACUGAAAUGAACGAUACUGUCUUCGUUUCCUGACCCGUCAAAUAAAAA